rnacentral:rRNA from 1 species
UACAGAGGUCCCGAGCGUUGUUCGGAUUCACUGGGCGUAAAGGGUGCGUAGGUGGUGAGGUAAGUCGGAUGUGAAAUCUCCGGGCUCAACCCGGAAAUGGCAUUGGAAACUACCUUGCUUGAGGAUUUGAGGGGGGAUUGGAAUACUUGGUGUAGCAGUGAAAUGCGUAGAUAUCAAGUGGAACACCAGUGGCGAAGGCGGCUUCCUGGCCUGUUCUUGACGCUGAGGCGCGAAAGCUAGGGGAGCAAACGGG